GACAGAGGGUGCAAACGUUGUUCGGAAUUACUGGGCGUAAAGCGAGUGUAGGCGGUUUGGAAAGUCGGAUGUGAAAGCCCCGGGCUCAACCCGGGAAGUGCACUCGAUACUCCCAAGCUAGAGUAUCGGAGAGGUUGGCGGAAUUCUCGGUGUAGAGGUGAAAUUCGUAGAUAUCGAGAGGAACACCGGCGGCGAAGGCGGCCAACUGGACGAAUACUGACGCUGAGACUCGAAAGCUAGGGGAGCGAACGGG
rnacentral:rRNA from 1 species